rnacentral:rRNA from 1 species
UACAGAGGUCUCAAGCGUUGUUCGGAAUCACUGGGCGUAAAGGGUGUGUAGGCGGUGCGCUAAGUCAGAUGUGAAAGCCCGGGGCUCAACCUCGGAACUGCAUCCGAUACUGGCGCGCUAGAGAAUUGGAGAGGAGUCUAGAAUUCACGGUGUAGCAGUGAAAUGCGUAGAUAUCGUGAGGAAUACCAAGUGCGAAGGCAGGACUCUGGACAUUUUCUGACGCUGAGACACGAAGGCCAGGGGAGCAAACAGGG